ACAAAAUAAAAAGGUAAAAUAAUCAAUUUAUUUCAAAAGAGAACCCAGAUGAAAAAUAACUUGCAACUUAUUUCAACGACUCUGUAAUUCAACAUCAAAGCAUUAGAAGCCAAAAACAUUAAAUAUCAUAAUCCAAAUAAAGAUUGUUGCUCUGCAGAAGAACGAAAAAAAAAAUAGCAAAAGAGAACUCACAGCCCAGUAAUGU
rnacentral:misc_RNA from 1 species